CAGGCGGCCAAGAUUGAGAAACACUGGUGUAGGCUAACAUUUCUUGUCCUCUUUCAUCCAGGGGUCUGGAAGACGAGCAACCCAAAAGAAUGCCGAAAAAGGUGGAAGGGGGAAAAAAAGAGACAGAGGGAAUUCCACCAUCAACGCUGUGAAAAUCUGAAUGACGCACGAUCCAGGACUUUAUCCCCGUCAGAGACUAAUUAAACUCUCAACCCAAGUGAGAUCGUUAAUAUUGAGCGGGCUCGCCUCCCUGGCCGAUAGCUGCAGCCUCGCUACCAUCGGCAACUCAAUUAACGCUGUUCAAUACACCCGCCAAGACGCUAAGACCCUCAUUUCUCACUGACUAGCCAGGGUUCCCCAGCAUUGCCUUCUCCGGGCCCCCCCUGGACUGCAGGAUCUCUUCUCCGAAAGGUUGCUAGGCAACCUCCCCCAGUAUCUGUCAUAAUCCAUUAUGAAGCUGGGGGGGCACAGAGAGAAAGAGAUUGACGGUGGCUGGAGGAGAGGAGGAAGGAACGUACGCUCAGCUGCUCUGCCCUCCGACAUCCCCAGAAAGAGGGAUGGAGUUAAACCCUGAGCAGAGCGGGAGCCAAGGCUGAAGACAUGGCGCAAUUUUUGCUACCCCUUUUGGAUCUCAGCUGCCACCCCCCAGGAAUGAACAGAACGUGUGCCCUUCUGCAGACCUCUUCGAGGCGCGUCUGCGGGUCCUUUCCCGGAGCCCCCCACCCCUCGAUUUCCCCCAAGGCCGCCUCUUCCCCUCCCUGGCCCCCCUUGGUACCCAACGCCCAUCUGCGGUCCGCGGCGCCACCCCACACGUGAGCUACCGCCGGCCGCGCCCAAGUGGUGCG